CAUGGUUAAGUGGGAAACGAUGUGGGAAGGCCCAGACAGCCAGGAUGUUGGCUUAGAAGCAGCCAUCAUUUAAAGAAAGCGUAAUAGCUCACUGGUCGAGUCGGCCUGCGCGGAAGAUGUAACGGGGCUAAACCAUGCACCGAAGCUGCGGCAGCGACACUAUGUGUUGUUGGGUAGGGGAGCGUUCUGUAAGCCUGUGAAGGUGUGCUGUGAGGCAUGCUGGAGGUAUCAGAAGUGCGAAUGCUGACAUAAGUAACGAUAAAGCGGGUGAAAAGCCCGCUCGCCGGAAGACCAAGGGUUCCUGUCCAACGUUAAUCGGGGCAGGGUGAGUCGACCCCUAAGGCGAGGCCGAAAGGCGUAGUCGAUGGGAAACAGGUUAAUAUUCCUGUACUUGGUGUUACUGCGAAGGGGGGACGGAGAAGGCUAUGUUGGCCGGGCGACGGUUGUCCCGGUUUAAGCGUGUAGGCUGGUUUUCCAGGCAAAUCCGGAAAAUCAAGGCUGAGGCGUGAUGACGAGGCACUACGGUGCUGAAGCAACAAAUGCCCUGCUUCCAGGAAAAGCCUCUAAGCAUCAGGUAACAUCAAAUCGUACCCCAAACCGACACAGGUGGUCAGGUAGAGAAUACCAAGGCGCUUGAGAGAACUCGGGUGAAGGAACUAGGCAAAAUGGUGCCGUAACUUCGGGAGAAGGCACGCUGAUAUGUAGGUGAAGCGACUUGCUCGUGGAGCUGAAAUCAGUCGAAGAUACCAGCUGGCUGCAACUGUUUAUUAAAAACACAGCACUGUGCAAACACGAAAGUGGACGUAUACGGUGUGACGCCUGCCCGGUGC
rnacentral:rRNA from 1 species